GACGAACGCUGGCGGCGUGCUUAACACAUGCAAGUCGAACGAUGAAGCCGGAGCUUGCUCUGGUGAAUUAGUGGCGAACGGGUGAGUAACACGUGAGUAACCUGCCCUUGACUCUGGGAUAACUGCGGGAAACUGUAGCUAAUACCGGAUACGACCCUUGGAGGCAUCUCCUGGGGGUGGAAAGAAUUUCGGUCAAGGAUGGACUCGCGGCCUAUCAGCUAGUUGGUGAGGUAAAGGCUCACCAAGGCGACGACGGGUAGCCGGCCUGAGAGGGUGACCGGCCACACGGGGACUGAGACACGGCCCAGACUCCUACGGGAGGCAGCAGUGGGGAAUAUUGCACAAUGGGCGCAAGCCUGAUGCAGCAACGCCGCGUGAGGGAUGACGGCCUUCGGGUUGUAAACCUCUUUUAACAGGGAAGAAGCGAAAGUGACGGUACCUGCAGAAAAAGCACCGGCUAACUACGUGCCAGCCGCCGCGGUAA
rnacentral:rRNA from 1 species